GAAAGAUCCGUGUAUUUCAACAGACAUCACACGCUUGGCCGCUGCACAACCUGUCAGUGCAGGAAGAUUUGCCAAGAUCAGAGGGUCCAUCGUACUGUCUGAGGGAAGGAUGAAUCCACCAGCAGGUAUAAAGAAAAAAAUUAUGAAGUCCCAUUUUCCUAAGCUCUACUACUUAUCCUAUCACUGCGAAGAAAUCUACUUGUCAAUAUCCAGGGUGCUGAAAGUUUCUG